rnacentral:rRNA from 1 species
AUACCCGCUGAACUUAAGCAUAUCAAUAAGCGGAGGAAAAGAAACCAACCGGGAUUGCCUCAGUAACGGCGAGUGAAGCGGCAAGAGCUCAAAUUUGAAAGCUGGCUCCUUCGGGGUCCGCAUUGUAAUUUGCAGAGGAUGCUUCGGGUGCGGCCCCUGUCUAAGUGCCCUGGAACGGGCCGUCAGAGAGGGUGAGAAUCCCGUCUGGGAUGGGGUGUCCGCGCCCGUGUGAAGCUCCUUCGACGAGUCGAGUUGUUUGGGAAUGCAGCUCUAAAUGGGUGGUAAAUUUCAUCUAAAGCUAAAUACUGGCCGGAGACCGAUAGCGCACAAGUAGAGUGAUCGAAAGAUGAAAAGCACUUUGAAAAGAGAGUUAAAAAGCACGUGAAAUUGUUGAAAGGGAAGCGCUUGCGACCAGACUCGCCUCCAGGGUUCAGCCGGCAUUCGUGCCGGUGUACUUCCCUGGGGGCGGGCCAGCGUCGGUUUGGGCGGCCGGUCAAAGGCUCCCGGAAUGUAGUGCCCUCCGGGGCACCUUAUAGCCGGGAGUGCAAUGCGGCCAGCCUGGACCGAGGAACGCGCUUCGGCACGGACGCUGGCAUAAUGGUCGUAAACGACCCGUCUUGAAACACGGACCAAGGAGUCUAACAUCUACGCGAGUGUUCGGGUGUCAAACCCGUACGCGCAGUGAAAGCGAACGGAGGUGGGAGCCCCCUCGUGGGGCGCACCAUCGACCGAUCCUGAUGUCUUCGGAUGGAUUUGAGUAAGAGCGUAAAUGUGGGGACCCGAAAGAUGGUGAACUAUGCCUGAAUAGGGCGAAGCCAGAGGAAACUCUGGUGGAGGCUCGCAGCGGUUCUGACGUGCAAAUCGAUCGUCAAAUUUGGGUAUAGGGGCGAAAGACUAAUCGAACC